rnacentral:rRNA from 1 species
AUUGAACGCUGGCGGCAGGCCUAACACAUGCAAGUCGAGCGAGCGGCGGACGGGUGAGUAAUGUCUGGGAAACUGCCUGAUGGAGGGGGAUAACUACUGGAAACGGUGGCUGAUACCGCAUACCAUCAGAUGUGCCCAGGUGGGAUUCGCUAGUAGGUGGGGUAAUGGCGAACCUAGGCGACGAUCCCUAGCUGGUCUGAGAGGAUGACCAGCCACACUGGAACUGAGACACGGUCCAGACUCCUACGUGAGGCAGCAGUGGGGAAUAUUGCACAAUGGGCGCAAGCCUGAUGCAGCCAUGCCGCGUGUGUGAAGAAGGUCUUCGGAUUGUAAAGCACUUUAAGUUGGGAGGCGGUACCAACAGAAUAAGCACCGGCUAACUUCGUGCCAGCAGCCGCGGUAAUAC